GUGUCCGAUUUAGCCAUGCUAGUCGAGCGGGUUCAGACUCGUGGCGAAUAGCUCAGUAACACGUGGCCAAACUGCCCUAUGGAUCGGUAUAACCUCGGGAAACUGAGGCUAAUCCCGAAUAGUGCAUCCAGCCUGGAAUGCGGAUUGUACGAAACGCUCCGGCGCCAUAGGAUGUGGCUGCGGCCGAUUAGGUAGACGGUGGGGUAACGGCCCACCGUGCCGAUAAUCGGUACGGGUCAUGAGAGUGAGAGCCCGGAGACGGACUCUGAGACACGAGUCCGGGCCCUACGGGGCGCAGCAGGCGCGAAACCUUUACACUGCACGACAGUGCGAUAGGGGGACACCGAGUGCGAGGGCAUAGAGCCCUCGCUUUUGUAGACCGUAAGGAGGUCUACGAAUAAGGGCUGGGCAAGACCGGUGCCAGCCGCCGCGGUAACACCGGCAGCCCAAGUGAUGGCCGAUAUUAUUGGGCCUAAAGCGUCCGUAGCUGGCCGCGCAAGUUCGUCGGGAAAUCCACUCGCUUAACGAGUGGGCGUCCGGCGAAAACUGUGCGGCUUGGGACCGGAAGAUCCAAGGGGUACGUCCGGGGUAGGAGUGAAAUCCCGUAAUCCUGGACGGACCACCGAUGGCGAAAGCACCUUGGAAGGACGGAUCCGACAGUGAGGGACGAAAGCUAGGGUCUCGAACCGGAUUAGAUACCCGGGUAGUCCUAGCCGUAAACGAUGCUCGCUAGGUGUGGCGCAGGCUACGAGCCUGCGCUGUGCCGUAGGGAAGCCGUGAAGCGAGCCGCCUGGGAAGUACGUCUGCAAGGAUGAAACUUAAAGGAAUUGGCGGGGGAGCACUACAACCGGAGGAG
rnacentral:rRNA from 1 species